GCCUAUACAUGCAGUCGAACGGUUGGUAGCAAUACCAAUAGUGGCGCACGGGUGCGUAACGCGUAACCAACCUACCCGAAUCUGGGGGAUAGCCCGCCGAAAGGCGGAUUAAUACCGCAUAAAACUGCAGCCUGGCAUCAGGUAACAGUUAAAGAUUUAUUGGAUUCGGAUGGGGUUGCGUGCCAUUAGCUAGUUGGCGGGGUAACGGCCCACCAAGGCGACGAUGGCUAGGGGAGCUGAGAGGCUGGUCCCCCACACGGGCACUGAGAUACGGGCCCGACUCCUACGGGAGGCAGCAGUAGGGAAUAUUGGGCAAUGGGCGAGAGCCUGACCCAGCCAUGCCGCGUGCAGGAUGAAGGCUUUCUGAGUCGUAAACUGCUUUUACCAGGGAAAAAAAAAGGGGAUGCGUCCUCUACUGACGGUACCUGGUGAAUAAGCACCGGCUAACUCCGUGCCAGCAGCCGCGGUAAUACGGAGGGUGCAAGCGUUGUCCGGAUUUAUUGGGUUUAAAGGGUGCGUAGGCGGCUGAUUAAGUCUGGGGUGAAAGCCCGUUGCUCAACAACGGAACUGCCCUGGAAACUGGUUAGCUUGAGUACAGACGAGGGUGGCGGAAUGGAUACUGUAGCGGUGAAAUGCAUAGAUAGUAUCCAGAACCCCGAU
rnacentral:rRNA from 1 species